GGGCGUAGCUCAGUUGGUAGAGCAACGGACUUUUAAUCCGUAGGCCGUAGGUUCGAAUCCUACUGUCCGCA
rnacentral:tRNA from 1 species